rnacentral:snRNA from 1 species
AUCGCUUCUCGGCCUUUUGGCUAAGAUCAAGUGUAGACACAAAUAGACUUGAUUUUUUAAAUGCUUCUCACUUAAACCUUAGGGGAUGUGGUGGGGGAUUCAUUCGUCUUCUCGUUUCCCCACAUGCAGCCAUCUCAG